rnacentral:tRNA from 2 species
GCAUUGGUGGUUCAGUGGUAGAAUUCUCGCCUGCCACAUGGGAGACCCGGGUCCGAUUCCCGGCCAAUGCA